rnacentral:rRNA from 1 species
UACGUAGGGUGCAAGCGUUGUCCGGAAUUAUUGGGCGUAAAGAGCUCGUAGGCGGUCUGUCGCGUCUGCUGUGAAAACUCGGGGCUUAACCCCGGGCCUGCAGUGGGUACGGGCAGACUAGAGUGCGGUAGGGGAGACUGGAAUUCCCGGUGUAGUGGUGGAAUGCGUAGAUAUCGGGAGGAACACCAGUGGCGAAGGCGGUUGCCUGGAGCUUUGCUGACGCUGAGGCGCGAAAGCGUGGGGAGCGAUCCGG